rnacentral:rRNA from 1 species
UGGGGAAUAUUGCACAAUGGGCGCAAGCCUGAUGCAGCAAUGCCGCGUGAGUGAAGACGGCCUUAGGGUUGUAAAACUCUUUCGCUAGGGAAGAUAAUGACGGUACCUAGUAAAGAAGUCCCGGCUAACUCCGUGCCAGCAGCCGCGGUAAUACGGAGGGGACUAGCGUUGUUCGGAAUUACUGGGCGUAAAGAGUUCGUAGGCGGACUAGCAAGUUAGAGGUGAAAUCCCAGGGCUCAACCUUGGAACUGCCUUUAAAACUGCUAGUCUAGAGACCGGAAGAGGUUAGGGGAAUACCUAGUGUAGAGGUGAAAUUCGUAGAUAUUAGGUGGAACACCAGUGGCGAAGGCGCCUAACUGGUCCGGUACUGACGCUGAGGAACGAAAGCGUGGGGAGCAAACAGGAUUAGAUACCCUGGUAGUCCACGCUGUAAACGAUGGGUGCUCGGUGUUGCGGGUGUUGACCCCUGCAAUGCCUUAGCUAACGCGUUAAGCA